GGUCAAGCUACAAAGGGCGCAUGGUGAAUGCCUUGGCAUCAGGAGCCGAUGAAGGACGUGAUAAGCUGCGAUAAGCUUCGGGUAGGCGCACAUAGCCUGAGAUCCGAAGAUCUCCGAAUGAGGAAACUCACAUGGGAAACCCCAUGUAUCGUUAAGUGAAUACAUAGCUUAAUGAAGGUAACCCAGGGAACUGAAACAUCUAAGUACCUGGAGGAAGAGAAAGAAAAAUCGAUUUUCUUAGUAGCGGCGAGCGAAAGGGAAAGAGCCCAAACCGGAAACUUGUUUCCGGGGUUGUGGACAUGACAUAAAAGUGGAGGCUAUUGUAACUGAAGAGAACUGGAAAGUUCCACCGUAGAAGGUAAUAGUCCUGUAAGUGAAACGAGAAGACCACGAGUUAUGAUCCAGAGUACCACGAGACACGUGAAACCUUGUGGGAAGCAGGGAGGACCACCUCCCAAGGCUAAAUACUACCUGAUGACCGAUAGUGAAGCAGUACCGUGAGGGAAAGGUGAAAAGAACCCCGGGAGGGGAGUGAAAUAGAACCUGAAACCGUGUGCCUACAACCGCUCAGAGCCCCUUAUGAGGGUGAUGAGGUGCUUUUUGUAGAACGAGCCAACGAGUUACGGUAUGUAGCAAGGUUAAGUACUUAAGGUACGGAGCCGAAGGGAAACCGAGUCUGAAUAGGGCGACUAGUUGCAUGCCGUAGACCCGAAACCGGGUGACCUAUCCAUGGCCAGGUUGAAGCGAGGGUAAAACCUCGUGGAGGACCGAACCACGUUGCUGUUGAAAAAGCAUGGGAUGAGCUGUGGAUAGCGGAGAAAUUCCAAUCGAACCCGGAGAUAGCUGGUUCUCUCCGAAAUAGCUUUAGGGCUAGCGUCGAGUAUGAGUAGUGGAGGUAGAGCACUGAAUGGGCUAGGGGGCAUAGCGCUUACCGAACCUUAUCAAACUCCGAAUGCCACAUACUUUGAGCUCGGCAGUCAGACUACGAAUGAUAAGAUCCGUGGUCAAAAGGGAAACAGCCCAGAUCGUCAGCUAAGGUCCCAAAGUGUAAGUUAAGUGGGAAAGGAUGUGAGAUUUCUAAGACAACUAGGAUGUUGGCUUAGAAGCAGCCAUUCAUUAAAAGAGUGCGUAAUAGCUCACUAGUCGAGAGAUCUUGCGCCGAAAAUGUAACGGGGCUAAACUUACCACCGAAGCUACGGGCUUGAACUUAGUUCAAGCGGUAGGAGAGCGUCGUAACCGGGCUGAAGUCGUACCGUAAGGAGCGGUGGACUGGUUACGAGUGAGAAUGUUGGCAUCAGUAGCGAGAUGUGGGUGAGAAUCCCACAGGCCGAAAACCUAAGGUUUCCUCAGGAAGGUUCGUCCGCUGAGGGUUAGUCGGGACCUAAGCCGAGGCCGAAAGGCGUAGGUGAUGGACAACUGGUUGAUAUUCCAGUACCACUACCAUCGUUAUUAUCGAUGGCGUGACGCAGGAGGAUAGUGUGUGCUAGCUAUUGGAUGCUAGUCUAAGCGUUUAGGCAGUGAGAGUAGGCAAAUCCGCUCUCAUAAUGCUGAGGCGUGAUGGGGAAGGUUCCACGGAACCGAAGUACAUGAUUCCACGCUGCCAAGAAAAGCGUCUAGAGAGAGAAGUAGUGCCCGUACCGCAAACCGACACAGGUAGGUGAGGAGAGAAUCCUAAGGCCGGCGGAAGAAUUACAGUUAAGGAACUCGGCAAAUUGACCCCGUAAGUUCGCGAGAAGGGGUGCCUACGAGAGUAGGCCGCAGAGAAUAGGCCCAAGCAACUGUUUAGCAAAAACACAGGUCUCUGCUAAAGCGUAAGCUGAUGUAUAGGGGCUGACGCCUGCCCGGUGCUGGAAGGUUAAGGGGAACACUUAGCGCAAGCGAAGGUGUGAACUUAAGCCCCAGUAAACGGCGGCCGUAACUAUAACGGUCCUAAGGUAGCGAAAUUCCUUGUCAGGUAAGUUCUGACCCGCACGAAUGGCGUAAUGACUUGGGCACUGUCUCAACUGUAAAUCCGGCGAAGUUGUAGUGCGAGUGAAGAUGCUCGCUACCCGCGAUUGGACGGAAAGACCCCGUAGAGCUUUACUGUAGCUUAGCAUUGAGUUUUGGUAUUGUCUGUACAGGAUAGGUGGGAGACUAGGAAACCAGGGCGUCAGCCUUGGUGGAGUCAACCUUGGGAUACCACCCUGACAGUACUGAAAUUCUAACUGGCGGCCAUGAAUCUGGUCACAGGACAUUGUUAGGUGGGCAGUUUGACUGGGGCGGUCGCCUCCUAAAAAGUAACGGAGGCGCCCAAAGGUUCCCUCAGAACGGUCGGAAAUCGUUCGAAGAGUGCAAAGGCAGAAGGGAGCCUGACUGCGACACCCACAAGUGGAGCAGGGACGAAAGUCGGGCUUAGUGAUCCGGUGGUACCUCGUGGGAGGGCCAUCGCUCAACGGAUAAAAGCUACCUCGGGGAUAACAGGCUGAUCUCCCCCAAGAGUCCACAUCGACGGGGAGGUUUGGCACCUCGAUGUCGGCUCGUCGCAUCCUGGGGCUGAAGUAGGUCCCAAGGGUUGGGCUGUUCGCCCAUUAAAGCGGCACGCGAGCUGGGUUCAGAACGUCGUGAGACAGUUCGGUCCCUAUCCGUCGCGGGCGUAGGAAAUUUGAGAGGAGCUGUCCUUAGUACGAGAGGACCGGGAUGGACUGACCUCUGGUGUACCAGUUGUUCCGCCAGGAGCACAGCUGGGUAGCUAAGUCGGGAAUGGAUAAACGCUGAAAGCAUCUAAGCGUGAAGCCAACCUCAAGAUGAGAUUUCCCAUAGCGUAAGCUAGUAAGAUCCCUUGAAGAACACAAGGUUGAUAGGUCGGGGGUGUAAGCAUGGUAACAUGUUCAGCUGACCGAUACUAAUAGAUCGAGGGCUUGACCAA
rnacentral:rRNA from 1 species